rnacentral:rRNA from 1 species
ACUCAAAGGAAUUGACGGGGACCCGCACAAGCGGUGGAGCGUGUUGUUUAAUUCGAGGCUAAGCGAAGAACCUUACCAGGGUUUGACAUCCUAGGAAUUACUGCGAAAGUAGUGAGUGCCUUCGGGAACCUAGUGACAGAUGAUGCAUGGCCGUCGUCAGCUCGUGUCGUGAGAUGUUUGGUUAAGUCCAUCAACGAGCGCAACCCUUAUGAAUAGUUGGAUUUUUCUAUUCAGACUGCCCCGGCAACGGGGAGGAAGGAGGGGAUGAGGUCAGGUCUGUAUUUCUCUUACAUCCUGGGCUACAAACGCGCUACAAUGGCCGGUACAAAGGGCAGCUAAGUCGCGAGACGGAGCAAAUCCCAUCAAAGCCGGUCCCAGUUCGGAUUGCAGGCUGAAACUCGCCUGCAUGAAGCCGGAAUCGCUAGUAAUCGCAGGUCAGCACACUGCGGUGAAUACGUUCCCGGGUCUUGUACACACCGCCCGU